rnacentral:rRNA from 1 species
UACGUAGGGCGCAAGCGUUGUCCGGAAUUAUUGGGCGUAAAGAGCUCGUAGGCGGUCUGUUGCGUCCGCUGUGAAAACCCAGGGCUUAACCCUGGGCUUGCAGUGGAUACGGGCAGACUAGAGGCAGGUAGGGGAGAAUGGAACUCCCGGUGUAGCGGUGAAAUGCGCAGAUAUCGGGAGGAACACCGGUGGCGAAGGCGGCAUCCUGGACCGGUAUUGACACUGAGGCGCGAAAGCCAGGGGAGCAAACGGG